rnacentral:rRNA from 1 species
GCAAAACGCGAAGAACCUUACCUACUCUUGACAUCCAGAGAACUUGGCAGAGAUGCUUUGGUGCCUUCGGGAACUCUGAGACAGGUGCUGCAUGGCUGUCGUCAGCUCGUGUUGUGAAAUGUUGGGUUAAGUCCCGCAACGAGCGCAACCCUUAUCCUUAGUUGCCAGCACGUAAUGGUGGGAACUCUAGGGAGACUGCCGGUGAUAAACCGGAGGAAGGUGGGGACGACGUCAAGUCAUCAUGGCCCUUACGAGUAGGGCUACACACGUGCUACAAUGGUACGUACAGAGGGAGGCAAGCUGGCGACAGUGAGCGGAUCUCUUAAAGCGUAUCGUAGUCCGGAUCGCAGUCUGCAACUCGACUGCGUGAAGUCGGAAUCGCUAGUAAUCGCAAAUCAGAAUGUUGCGGUGAAUACGUUCCCGGGUCUUGUACACACCG